rfam:Gossypium raimondii chromosome 5, whole genome shotgun sequence.
AAUCUAUGGUGUCAGCACUUCCUGAGCAUUAACUUGAAACAUUUCGACGCCUCAUAUAGGGAUUCACCUUUAUAUUGCUUAAAUUUGGCGAUUUCUUGCCUAAGCU